rnacentral:lncRNA from 1 species
CCUGACUUCGUGAUCUGCCUGCCUCGGCCUCCCAAAGUGCUGGGAUUACAGGUGUGAGCAACCGCGCCCAGCCAAUUCUAGGAGUUUUUUAAAGAAUUACAGAAUCACAAAAACCCUAGAAGUCAUCUGGAAGGGAAGAAGAGAAUGCGAAAGAACAGAAGAGUAUAAUGUUCAACAUGGAGGGAAAAAAAUAACAAUACAUAUUUCAGAAAUAGGAGCAGCUUCAGUGCAGGCAGUAUCAUGGCAGCCACUCCACGGGAGGAACGGGAUCCUCUGCCAACCUUGUCAGCCACUCCAACUAAGCAGCUGCUGCACCAGGUGUGUUGCUGCUGUCUUUCUAAGGGUUCAAGAACAUGGGCUCUGGAGUCACAUGGCCUGCGUUUACAUUCCAG